CCUGGUUGAUCCUGCCAGUAGUCAUAUGCUUGUCUCAAAGAUUAAGCCAUGCAUGUGUAAGUAUGAACUAAUUCAGACUGUGAAACUGCGAAUGGCUCAUUAAAUCAGUUAUAGUUUGUUUGAUGGUAUCUGCUACUCGGAUAACCGUAGUAAUUCUAGAGCUAAUACGUGCAACAAGCAACAAACCUCGACUUCUGGAAGGAUGCAUUUAUUAGAUAAAAGGUCGGCGGGCUCUGCCGUUCUCUGUGAUUCAUGAUAACUCGACGGAUCCGCACGGCCAUCGUGCCGGCGACGCAUCAUUCAAUUUCUGCCCUAUUCAACUUUCGAUGGUAAGGAUAUGAAGGCCUACCAUGGUGGUUCGACGGGUGCGGAGGAAUUAGGGUUCGAUUCCGGAGAGGAGCUGAGAAACGGCUUUACACAUCCAAUGGAAGGCAGCAGGCGCGCGCAAAUUACCCAAUCUGACAGCCGUGGAGGUAGUUGACAAUAAAUACAAACCGGGCGUCCUUCGAGUUGGUAAUUGAAUGCCGUACAAUCUAAAUCCCUUGAACGAGGGAUCCUUGGAGGGCAAGUCUGGGUGCCAGCAGCCGCGGAUCUCCAGCUUCCAAUAAGCGUUAUUUUAAAGUUGUUGCAGUUAAAAAGCUGCGUAGUUGACCCUUGGGUUGGGUCGACGGUCCGCCUCGCGGUGUGCACCUGCGGGCUCGUCCCUUCUGCCGGGCGAUGCGGUCUCUGGCCUUAACUGGGUCGUGCCUCCGGCGCUGUUACUUUGAAGAAUUCGAGUGCUCAAAGCAAGCCUACGCUCUGGAUUUUACAUUAGCAUGGGAUGAACAUCAAAUAGGAUUUCGGUCCUAUUGUGGUUGGCCUUCGGGAUCGAGUAAUGAUUAACAGGGACAGUCGCGGGGCAUUCGAUUAUUUCAUAGUCAGAGGUGAACCUCUUGGAUUUAUCGAAGACGAAACAAACUGCGAAAGCAUUUGCAAGAUGUUUUUCAUUAAUCAAGAAACGAAAGUUGGGGGCUCGAAGCACAUCAGAUACCGUCCCAGUCCUCAACGCAUAAACGAUGCCGCACCAGGGAUCUCGGCGGAUGUUGCUUUUAGGACUCCGCCGGCACCUUAUGAGAAAUCAAAGUCUUUGGGUUCCGGGGGGAGUAUGGUCGCAAGGCUGAAACUUAAAGGAAGAUUGACGGAAGGGCACCACCAGGAGUGGAGCUGCGGCUUAAUUCUGAUCAACAGGGGAAACUUACCAGGUCCCCGACAUAGUAAGGAUUGACAGAACUGAGAGGCUCUUUUCUUGAUCUAUGGGUGGUGGUGCAUGGCCGUUCUUAAAGUUGGUGGAGCGCAUUUGUCUGGUUAAUUCCGGUUAAAACGAACGAGACCUCAGCCUGCUAACUAGCUAUGCGGAGGUGACCCUCCGCGGCCAGCUUCUUAGAGGGACUAUGGCCUUUUAGGCCAAGGAAGUUUGAGGCAAUAACAGGUCUGUGAUGCCCUUAGAUGUUCUGGGCCGCACGGCGCGCCAAUACUGAUGUAGUUCAACGAGUCUAUAGCCUUGGC
rnacentral:rRNA from 1 species